rnacentral:piRNA from 1 species
UAGAUAGAGACAAGGUGGAAGUCGGU